rfam:Arabidopsis lyrata subsp. lyrata unplaced genomic scaffold ARALYscaffold_401, whole genome shotgun sequence.
UUUGGGAUAUGAUGACAAAAAUACGAAAUCUCUAAGGCUAAUUGCUAUGCAGAUGAAAUGUAUUUGCACGUCAGUCUGAUCCCAUU